rnacentral:misc_RNA from 1 species
GAAAUGCGAUAAGUAAUGUGAAUUGCAGAAUUCAGUGAAUCAUCGAAUCUUUGAACGCACAUUGCGCCCCCUGGUAUUCCGGGGGGGCAUGCCUGUUCGAGCGUCAUUUCACCACUCAAGCCUCGCUUGGUAUUGGGCAACGCGGUCCGCCGCGUGCCUCAAAUCGACCGGCUGGGUCUUCUGUCCCCUAAGCGUUGUGGAAACUAUUCGCUAAAGGGUGCUCGGGAGGCUACGCCGUAAAACAAACCCAUUUCUAAGGUUGACCUCGGAUCAGGUAGGGAUACCCGCUGAACUUAAGC